CGGACGGGUGAGUAAUGUCUGGGAAACUGCCUGAUGGAGGGGGAUAACUACUGGAAACUGUAGCUAAUACCGCAUAACGUCGCAAGACCAAAGAGGGGGACCUUCGGGCCUCUUGCCAUCAGAUGUGCCCAGAUGGGAUUAGCUAGUAGGUGGGGUAACGGCUCACCUAGGUGACGAUCCCUAGCUGGUCUGAGAGGAUGACCAGCCACACUGGAACUGAGACACGGUCCAG
rnacentral:rRNA from 1 species